rnacentral:lncRNA from 1 species
CUCAAGACAUUUCUAACAUUAAAUUAAAUAAAUAUCAUCCUUUUGCCAUGGCCUAAAUACUUGGCUAGAAGAAGAAGAAGAAGAAGAAGAAGGAAGCUGUUUAUCCUUGCAUGUCCCUGGAUAUAUUUGUUGAUAGUCACCUAGUUAUUUUGUUGUUAUACAUUAUGGUUAGAUGACCAUCAACAAACACAUUCAUGAUGUUGCAUUUCCUCAAAGUUAGUAUGCAACUGAUGUUGGUAAGUGACCCCAAAGUAAUUGCUUUUGUUAUAUAUUACUUUUAAUUUCUAUUCUCUUUUAUUUUCACUUCUCCUUUGAGGGUCUAAUCAAGAUAUUCUUCUACUUUGUUAUAUAUAUAUAUAUAUAUAUAUAUAUAUUACUCAUGUACUGUUAGACCCAAGCAUUGACCCACCAAAGUAAAGAAACAUUUCUAGAGAAGCUCAGUUGAUAGAUCCUCAUCCUCUUGAGCCAAUCAUCAAAAGUUGUCCACCUCCAGAGAUUUAUGAACCUGUAGGAAAGAAUAAUGGAGAAUAAUAGAAGAUUGGUUACAAAAUUCAGCUGAGCUUGCCAUUGGAUUUCCAUUAUCAUAGCGAACGUCCUCUUCUCUUCCUCACCAGUGACCGUCAAAAGACGGCUACCCAUAGGAUUGUUGUUGAUAAAGGAGUCGGCCUUAGCCGCACAAAACCAUUGUUGCUUGUACAGGCAUCACAAACACACCGAAAACAACUAACUUCAAGAAAUAAUACACAAAGAUAAGUAACAAAGUAUGGAGGAUGUAUUGAAUUAAGCGAAAUAAAAACUUUAAUAGAAUUGAAAAGUUAUGGUGUAAUUAAAAAUAAUUAUAAAAGAUCUUGUAAAAGUUAUGGAAUAUUUAAUACUAAUUUUUAAAAAAAUUUAAAAAAAAAGUUUAUAAUUUUUAUAAAGAGUAUAAUAAUAAAUCAGUACUCAAAAAAGCAUUGAAUUUUAUAGACAUAAAUUUUUAUUAUUAGUACAAAUAUAAAAUUUCAAAAAUUUUCUUUCAUUUUCCUUUAAGAUUUCACUAGAUAUUUUUUAUAAAUUUAUCUUUUUUCUUCUCAAAUUCUCGUACAUUAUUGUUACCACUUUUUUACUCUGUUCUUCAUCUUAAAAAAAUGAUUGAUUGAAAUUCAAAAGCUAAUAAUAAUUCAUUCAUAUUCUUUUGAACUCCCAUUAACUAAUUUACUUUCAAGAGGGUUUUAAUAAAAAUAUGAAUUUCAAGUAAAAAGUUUAGUGUUUUUUUAAGGAUGUUGUUUAGCAAACAACUCCAUCAUAAAACUUCUAGGUUUUAUUAAGAAGAUUAUUUGGUAAUUGUUUUUAUUAGUAAGGAAUAGGUUUAGAUAUUUAUGCAUAAAAAUAUAACAAGUAUGACAUGAAUUAGUGAUUUGUUUAGAGAUAAAUCAUACUAUGAUCAUUUCUUUUUUAAAAAGCUUUAUUGUUCUUGAUAAAAUAAAUAGUGUUUAUGUUGCAAUAGAAAUUUAAGUAUAUUUGAAUUUAACAUAAUAAUGAAAUAAAAUCUAUUAUUUAUGUAUGGAGUUAUAAACAAUAUUGUGUAAAACAAUGCUUGCAUAUGUAGAAAAAAGAAAAAACUAGUCAAAACAUAAUGAUUAGUUUCAUUUUUAAUCAUCGAAUGGUAGAGAACUAAUGGUAUGUAGAAAUUAAUAAAUUUAUAAAUAUUAUUAAAAAUAUUUUUUAAGUAAAUUCUGCGAAAAUAAUUCAUAAAAAUUUGUAAAUUUUGCAAUUAAAACUUUAUAAGUUCUUUAGAAAUAAUUCACUUACAAAAAAAUGUCUUUAAAAGAAUUCAACUAAUUAUAUAAUUAACAUACUCAAAUAUAUAGUUAAAACUUAAUAUAUAUAUAUAUAUAUAUAUAUAUAUAUAUAUAUAUAUAAGUCUCAUGGGAUGAGUUUACGGUGGCUAGAAUGACUGGAUGCCACCUCAAGACUCAGAAUCCGAAUUAAGGAUUUAAUUAGAAAUAUAAUUUAUUAAUUAAUAAAUUAAUAGAAAAUUUAUAAAAUUAUUUAUAAAUUUGAAUUAUGUGUCAAAAAUAAUACACAUGUCCAAAUAAAAAACUUAUAAAUUAAAAAUUAAACAUAUAUAUUAAAAUAAAUUGAAGCAUAUAUAUAGAUUCGACAACACAUUAGUUGGUGUAUCAAGUGGACCGGACACUUGGAGAAAGUUGUUUAGCUUCUUCGACCUUCUCUUUAAAGUGUCAUCCUUCAUCAAACAACCAAAUCUUUUCUCUUUCUGAGUCAAAGCCCAACAACUCUUAACCAUUUGCUGGAUUUAACCAAGAAAAAGAGACUCCAAUUUUAGAGAAGAGAAUUACAAGAAUUCUUUAAAAGUAUUUAAUUAAUUACAAAAACUUUCGUUAAAAAAUGAUAAACUAAAACUGACAUUAAUUUACAGAACCAAUUCCCUUAGAAUAGUCAUAGCAUGUCACAUUAUUAAUAUUCUUUUUAAGAAAAAAGAUUAAUUUAUGUGUUAUAUUAACAUGCUCUAAAUUUUCUUUUAAUUUUAAAAUUCUAGCCUUUUUUUUAUCAAAAUUUCAUUUUUUGGCCCACCGCGGGUCAUUUUUAGAUCGUCGGUGGUCCCUUUUUUUGUUAUUAAUUAAUUUUAAUAAAUAAGUAUUAGUACUUUUUAGGAAAUUUUAUGGUCCUCUAUUAUGAGGGUUUUGAAUUUUCUUUCUACAGGAGUUUUAUGGUAUCCAUUAGAGGGGUGUUGAAUUCUCCCUUUAUGGGAAUAGUGAAAAGAAAAAAAAUUAAAAUCGACCUUUAAACUAUCGCACUCGUCAAAAGACAUCUAUAAAGUCGAUUUGUGACUUAGUGCCACCGAGUAGAGCGUCCUUCCCGCAGAAUUGUAAUUUAUUGCUCCGACAACACGAUUGAUGAUUGUUAUGAAUAGAUUUUUUUACUUGUAUCUCAUGAUGUUUGAC